rnacentral:tRNA from 1 species
GCAGGUUCUGGUCCAAUGGAAAGGCGCGCUGCUUUGCAAGCAGUGAGAUGUGGGUUCAAGUCCCACUGGCCUGCA